rnacentral:snRNA from 1 species
UCUUUCAUUUAGCAUAAAUUCUCCAGGUUCAGCCAUGUUGUCACAAUUACAUUAAAUGGAUAUUUAGGGCAGAUAGGUGGAAGAGGAGCUUGUUCUGUCCACUCCCUGCAUUGACCUAGCAUUGCAGUGCGU